rnacentral:piRNA from 1 species
UGCCUCUGUUUCCAAACAAGGUACAGGUUC